CAAGAAUCAAGAUGGCGGCUGAGUCAAGAACUAGCAGGAAGUUGGGAUAAACAAAUACCCAAACUUGAUGUUCUACUUAAUUUYGAACAACUGCAACAAAUAAAUAUGGAUUCAUGGUCUCAAAUGGGUAAAAACGUGGACCUAAAAGAUUUGGAGGCACCCACGUCGUCAACUUGGUACCUUCAUCGGCCACACACGACGAAUAGGGAUAUCCCUGAUACACAGUAAUCAAUGUGACGAGAAAUAAAUGCGGGUCUGGUUCUCCUGAGGAUGCGAAGAAUUGCGCAAUCUGAAAAUCGACUAAAUAAAGAUUUUGUUUCAUUGAA